AGUGAACGCUGGCGGUAGGCCUAACACAUGCAAGUCGAACGGCAGCACAGUAAGAGCUUGCUCCUACGGGUGGCGAGUGGCGGACGGGUGAGGAAUACAUCGGCAUCUACUUUUUCGUGGGGGAUAACGUAGGGAAACUUACGCUAAUACCGCAUACGACCUACGGGUGAAAGCAGGGGAUCUUCGGACCUUGCGCGAUUGAAUGAGCCGAUGUCGGAUUAGCUAGUUGGCGGGGUAAAGGCCCACCAAGGCGACGAUCCGUAGCUGGUCUGAGAGGAUGAUCAGCCACACUGGAACUGAGACACGGUCCAGACUCCUACGGGAGGCAGCAGUGGGGAAUAUUGGACAAUGGGCGCAAGCCUGAUCCAGCCAUACCGCGUGAGUGAAGAAGGCCUUCGGGUUGUAAAGCCCUUUUGUUGGGAAAGAAAAGCAGCGGGAUAAUACCCCGCUGUUCUGACGGUACCCAAAGAAUAAGCACCGGCUAACUUCGUG
rnacentral:rRNA from 1 species